rnacentral:rRNA from 1 species
GAUGAACGCUGGCGGCGUGCCUAAUACAUGCAAGUCGAGCGAACGGACGAGAAGCUUGCUUUUUUGAUGUUAGCGGCGGACGGGUGAGUAACACGUGGAUCACCUACUUAUAAGACUGGGAUAACUUCGGGAAACCGGAGCUAAUACCGGAUAAUAUUUUGAACCGCAUGGUUCAAAAGUGAAAGACGGCCUUGCUGUCACUUAUAGAUGGAUCCGCGCUGCAUUAGCUAGUUGGUAAGGUAACGGCUUACCAAGGCAACGAUGCAUAGCCGACCUGAGAGGGUGAUCGGCCACACUGGAACUGGGACACGGUCCAGACUCCUAAGGGAGGCAGCAGUAGGGAAUCUUCCGCAAUGGGCGGAAGCCUGGCGGAGCAACGCCGCGUGAGUGAUGGAAGUCUUCGGAUCGUAAAACUCUGUUAUUAGGGAAGAACAUAUGUGUAAGUAACUGUGCACAGCUUGACGGUACCUAAUCAGAAAGCCACGGCUAACUACGUG